rnacentral:rRNA from 1 species
AGGGGAAGCGCUUCGGUGCAGAACCUAGCGGCGGACGGGUGAGUAACGCGUGGACAACCUGGCUCAUACAGGGGAAUAAUCACUGGAAACGGUGACUAAUACCGCAUGUCGUAUUCGAUAGGCAUCUAUUGAAUAAAAAAGGAGAAAUCCGGUACGAGAUGGGCCCGCGUCUGAUUAGCUAGUUGGUGAGAAAAAAGCCCACCAAGGCAACGAUCAGUAGCCGACCUGAGAGGGUGAACGGCCACAUUGGGACUGAGACACGGCCCAAACUCCUACGGGAGGCAGCAGUGGGGAAUAUUGCACAAUGGAGGGAACUCUGAUGCAGCAACGCCGCGUGAAGGAAGAAGGUUUUCGGAUUGUAAACUUCUAUCAACAGGGACGAAGGAAGUGACGGUACCUGAAUAAGAAGCCCCGGCUAACUACGUGCCAGCAGCCGCGGUAAUACGUAGGGGGCAAGCGUUAUCCGGAAUUACUGGGUGUAAAGGGAGAGUAGGCGGCAAUUUAAGCCAGAUGUGAAAGCCUAUGGCUUAACCGUAGGAUUGCAUUUGGAACUAAGUAGCUAGAGUACAGGAGAGGAAAGCGGAAUUCCUAGUGUAGCGGUGAAAUGCGUAGAUAUUAGGAAGAACACCUGUGGCGAAGGCGGCUUUCUGGACUGAAACUGACGCUGAGGCUCGAAAGCGUGGGGAGCAAACAGGAUUAGAUACCCUGGUAGUCCACGCUGUAAACGAUGAGUGCUAGGUAUUGGAGGGGAACCUUCGGUGCCGUCGCAAACGCAAUAAGCACUCCACCUGGGGAGUACGACCGCAAGGUUGAAACUCAAAGGAAUUGACGGGGGC